UAGGGAAUCUUCGGCAAUGGGGGCAACCCUGACCGAGCAACGCCGCGUGAGUGAAGAAGGUUUUCGGAUUCGUAAAGCUCUGUUGUAAGAGAAGAACGUGUGUGAGAGUGGAAAGUUCACACAGUGACGGUAACUUACCAGAAAGGGACGGCUAACUACGUGCCAN
rnacentral:rRNA from 1 species